rnacentral:rRNA from 1 species
UGGCUCAGGAUGAACGCUGGCGGCGUGCCUAACACAUGCAAGUCGAACGAAGCACAUACGACGGAACUCUUCGGAGGGAAGAUGUAUGUGACUGAGUGGCGGACGGGUGAGUAACGCGUGGGUAACCUGCCCUAUACAGGGGGACAACAGUUGGAAACGACCGCUAAUACCGCAUAAGCGCACGGUAUCGCAUGAUACAGUGUGAAAAACUCCGGUGGUAUAAGAUGGACCCGCGUCUGAUUAGCUUGUUGGUGAGGUAACGGCCCACCAAGGCGACGAUCAGUAGCCGGCCUGAGAGGGUGAACGGCCACAUUGGGACUGAGACACGGCCCAAACUCCUACGGGAGGCAGCAGUGGGGAAUAUUGCACAAUGGGGGAAACCCUGAUGCAGCGACGCCGCGUGAGUGAUGAAGUAUUUCGGUAUGUAAAACUCUAUCAGCAGGGAAGAUAAUGACGGUACCUGACUAAGAAGCACCGGCUAAAUACGUG